rnacentral:lncRNA from 1 species
AAUACUAAGAAGGAGAGAACUACAACGUCAUCAAAUGUCUUUGUCAUUUCACCCGAUUUGUGAGCGAGAUGGAACAUCUGUGAGACUGCAGCUAAAUGAACAGGAGGAGAAACAAAGCACCAGAACCCAGAAGACAUUUUACUCAAUUAAGUUCCUUUCGAUUAGUUUGACUCCUCUGAAAGUCAGAUCAAUCCUGCCAAGCAAAAUGGAGCCCGAGGAGGUUGAUUCGACUCCACACAAUUCUGGUAACUGAAUAGGGAAGAUAAAAGUUGCCUCUGCAGAGGCAAUAGUAGAAACCGAAUUCACUGAACGUGGACAUCAUCAAAUUGGUGUUAGAGAAUGCUCAACUGCUCAGAAGAUCAAGACAAUUUCGAUACAGACACUGAUGUGAUGGCCGAGUCUACCACAACGGCAUUGAACCGUUGGCAACAGUCAAGUCCCAUUCGUUCACCCUGGGACGUAGAGCAGCGAUUGAGACUAUUGUGGCGCGAGUAUUUGUCUUUGGUGGUUAGCAUGCAGCUAAAUAAAAAUGGGUGACGGUGGCUGAAGCAGCAACAUUCCUAGCUCUCAAUAGCCAGGAGUCUAGGACCGCGGGAUAGCGGAGGCGAUAACAACGAAGAAUAACGAACUCGUUAUCAUCUCUGGCUCUCGACAAUUGUGAAAAAUGUCACCAGUUUCUUUUCCCCCGCACGGAAUCCAUUCUUCCAAUUCAGCCAAUCAAUUCCGCAACAUACCAACAACGACCAACAACAUCAGUAGCCGGCAGUAACGUUGGAAAACUUCCAGGAACUCCACCCAGACCUGAACCUUUGGCUGUUCCCGGUUGGUAGACCACGUAAUCUCCCGCCAACUUGGAGGGUUUUUACGCGUAUUGGGCAUGUCAGGAGGAAGGAACUGCUUCCGUGAGGCACCUGGUAGAGAAAUUUCGCACUACUUUAUGGAAUCCCAUUACUUCAGUCGUCUGCUUCAUUCACGCGUCGUCGUGGCUUUCAACAUGGCGAUUGAUCAUUUUUGUUCGUGCUCUUUUGUGGAUCUUCAAAACAAAAUGUCAAGCUUCCUCAUUCCAAUGUUGUUGUUUUGGAGUGGUGGUGUCGUGGAGAUCUUGUUGCCUGAUCUUGUCCUUAUCAUUUUGGUCACAUUUUCCCAGGAGAAACUGGAUCGGGAAAAUGGACGGCCUAAAGAAAGCAUCCAAGUGAGCCAAAUUGGCAUGACUCCUGAUUGAAGAGAAUAGAUGAGUGGCAACUUUGUCCCGUUGGAGAUUGGCUGGUUGCCAUGAUUGAAACCGAAGUCUAGUGGCAGUUUUUGGACGCCGCCCAUGGAAAGAAGAAUUCUUCCUUUACCAAUUUCACGGCGCUAUACUUGGGUUAAAUUUUAGCAUUGCCUACAUUCAAGCAGUGUCCUCAACAUCGACUGCGUUGACUGAAUGGGUGUGGGUGGGUGACGGCCAUGUUUUGCGGUCGAAUGGCAUCGUCCGUUUGUACCUGAUGUCAGUGAGGUUCCACGACGAGAAAGAGACGCCGAUUAAAUGAGGUGCAGUCCAUUGGCAAUAAGCCAAUAAUCAACGUGGUUCCUGGGUGCCUCCCAUCAAGGUCGAUUGGUGCUCGUACAUUCAGGAUUCUGAUUAUCCUCAUUCGCUCUGAUUUGAUGUUCGACUCACUGUAGAAAAACCUCACGUUGGUUUCUCCAAUUUGCAUCUUCAACACGGGUUACGCAAUCAUUUCA